GGAAGGAUGACCGAGUGGUUAAGGUGUGUGACUCAAGAUAAUUAUCUUUCUUGCUUAAUAAGCGAGGUUUCUCAUGGGCCUAGCCCGCGGGGGUUCGAAUCCCCCUCCUUUCA
rnacentral:tRNA from 1 species